AGUGAACGCUGGCGGUAGGCCUAACACAUACAAGUCGAACGGCAGCACAGUAAGAGCUUGCUCUUACGGGUGGCGAGUGGCGGACGGGUGAGGAAUACAUCGGAAUCUACUUUUUCGUGGGGGAUAACGUAGGGAAACUUACGCUAAUACCGCAUACGACCUGCGGGUGAAAGCAGGGGAUCUUCGGACCUUGCGCGAUUGAAUGAGCCGAUGUCGGAUUAGCUAGUUGGCGGGGUAAAGGCCCACCAAGGCGACGAUCCGUAGCUGGUCUGAGAGGAUGAUCAGCCACACUGGAACUGAGACACGGUCCAGACUCCUACGGGAGGCAGCAGUGGGGAAUAUUGGACAAUGGGCGCAAGCCUGAUCCAGCCAUACCGCGUGGGUGAAGAAGGCCUUCGGGUUGUAAAGCCCUUUUGUUGGGAAAGAAAAGCAGCAGGUUAACACCCCGCUGUUCUGACGGUACCCAAAGAAUAAGCACCGGCUAACUUCGUG
rnacentral:rRNA from 1 species